rnacentral:rRNA from 1 species
AUUGAACGCUGGCGGCAGGCCUAACACAUGCAAGUCGAGCGGAUGAAGGGAGCUUGCUCCUGGAUUCAGCGGCGGACGGGUGAGUAAUGCCUAGGAAUCUGCCUGGUAGUGGGGGAUAACGUCCGGAAACGGGCGCUAAUACCGCAUACGUCCUGAGGGAGAAAGUGGGGGAUCUUCGGACCUCACGCUAUCAGAUGAGCCUAGGUCGGAUUAGCUAGUUGGUGGGGUAAAGGCCUACCAAGGCGACGAUCCGUAACUGGUCUGAGAGGAUGAACAGUCAACCUGGAACUGAGAAAGGGUCCAAGCCCCUAGGGGGGGCAGGGGGGGGGAAUAUUGGACAAGGGGCGAAAGCCUGACCCAGCCAUGGCGGGGGUGUGAAGAAGGUUUUCGGUUUGUAAAGCCCUUUAAGUUGGGAGGAAGGGCAGUAAGUUAAUACCUUGCUGUUUUGGCUUUACCAACAGAAUAAGCACCGGCUAACUUCGU